rnacentral:ncRNA from 1 species
UAAAGUACUCGCAUCUUUUCUGAUUAGGUGUAGUCACUUAAAUCUUACAUGGACGAGUGCUUUAUAUGA